AUUGAACGCUGGCGGCAGGCCUAACACAUGCAAGUCGAACGGAGCGGCGGACGGGUGCGUGAUGCCUAUGAAUCUGCCUGGUAGUGGGGGAUAAGGUUCGGUACCGGGCGCUAAUACCGCAUACUCUCAGAUGAGCCUAGGCCGGAUUAGCUAGUUGGUGGGGUAAAGGCAUACCAAGGCGACGAUCCGUAACUGGUCUGAGAGGAUGAUCAGACACACUGGAACUGAGACACGGUCCAGACUCCUACGGGAGGCAGCAGUGGGGAAUAUUGGACAAUGGGCGAAAGCCUGAUCCAGCCAUGCCGCGUGUGUGAAGAAGGCCUUCGGGUUGUAAAGCACUUUAAGCUGGGAGGCGUUACCAGCAGAAGAAGCACCGGCUAACUUCGUGCCAGCAGCCGCGGUAAUUC
rnacentral:rRNA from 1 species